rnacentral:rRNA from 1 species
GUCGUAACAAGGUUUCCGUAGGUGAACCUGCGGAAGGAUCAUUAUCGUUCCUUCACCCGCACCCUGCGUACUGUUUCGUUUUAGCUUCGAUGGGCUGAUUCCGCCCGGGAUCAGUUGAUCGUCGCGCACCCUGCUUCGGCAGACGUGUUCAGCUGUAGUGGGCUCUUCCCUCGCGGAGGCUCGCUCGGCGCCCCUCGCGUUAGUGUGCUGGCUCUGCCACGCCCUAAUGCCCUCAACUCUAAAAUACACAACUCUUGUCGAUGGAUAUCUUGGCUCGAGCAACGAUGAAGAACGCAGCGAAAUGCGAUACGUAGUGCGAAUUGCAGAAUUCAGUGAAUCAUCGAACCUUUGAACGCAAAUGGCACUUCCAGAUUCCGUCUGGAAGUACACUUCCUCCAGUGGCGCCACCACCCCCCUCGGGCGCGAGCCGCGCCCGGAUCGUGGCCGCCGGCGUGCUUUCGAGCGUGCCGCCGGCUCAAGGGUCGAGCGCUGCUAUUGGUGCCGCGUGCGCGUCGGCUUUCCCUCGCGGAGAGUCGAUGCGGCCGAUGUGCUAAGUGUUUAUCUCUAAACAUCAGUCGUCGGUUCGAGCGCGUGUGCCUCUGGCGCGGAGGUUUGAGGUCUUCUUGACUCUCAGCCCCCACCGAUUGGUUGCUUGCAACCACUUGUCUAUCGCCAUGGAGUGACGUGAGGCUACCCGCUGAACUUAAGCAUAUCACUAAGCGGAGGAGAAGAAAACAACCGUGAUGCCCCUAGUAAUGGCGAAUGAAGCGGGCAGAGCUCACGCCGCCAAUCUGGAGGCCCUCGCGGCCCCCCGAAUUGUAGUCUAGAAAGGCGCCAUCGGCCGCGUCCGCCGCUCAAAUCCCUUGGAACAGGGUAUCGGAGAAGGUGAGAAUCCUGUACCGUGGUGGUUCGCGGCCGCACGAUGCGCCCUUGCAGAGUCGGGUUGCUUGGGAUUGCAGCUUGAAGUGGGUGGUAAAUUCCAUCUAAAGCUAAAUAUUGGCUCGAGACCGAUAGCGAACAAGUACCGUGAGGGAAAGAUGCAAAGAACUUUGAAAGGAGAGUUAAAGAGUGCUUGAAAUCGGCGAGAGGAAACCCGUAUGUGCCUGGUUUCGUGUCGUCAACUCAACCGUCUCGUAGCGGUGCACUUUGGCGUCACGGGUCCGCCGCGUCUAUGCGUUCGAUAUACCAUUCCAGUAGGGCUUCGGUGAGCUGGUUGAUCAUCGCGCGCGUGGCCCCGGCGGACGGAACAGGCACAUCCGACCCGUCUAGAAACACGGACCAAGGAGUCUGACACGGAUGCGAGUACCCGGGUGGUAAGCCCGCGUGCGCAAUGAAAGUAAAGGGCGUGCCCCGCCAACCGACCUUGAUUUUCUAUGAAGGGUUUGAGUCGAGCAUCACUGUCGGGACCCGAAAGAUGGUGAACUAUGCGUGA